CGUCGCCGGUAAUUCCAGCUCCCAAUUAGCGUAUAUUGACUGUGCGUAAAGUCGUAGUCGACUCGACUCGGUCAGCCGUCGCUCCUGGUGUGUACUGUUGACCGAGCUACCUCCUGUGAACACGAUGUCCUUACUGAGUGUCGUCGCAAGCCAGACUUUACUUGAAAAAAUUAGAGUGUCAAAGCAGGCCCUUGCCCGAAUACAUUAGCAUGGAAUAAUAAAAUAGGACGCGCGUUCCCAUUUUGUUGGUUUCUGAGAUCGCCGUAAUGAUUAAUAGGGAUAGUUGGGGGCAUUUGUAUUCCGUCGUCAGAGGUGAAAUUCUUGGAUUGCCGGAAGACAAACUACUGCGAAAGCAUUUGCCAAGGAUGUUUUCAUUGAUCAAGAACGAAGGAAGGGGGAUCGAAAACGAUUAGAUACCGUUGUAGUCUCUUCUGUAAACUAUGCCAAUUGGGGAUCGGUACAGGAUUUUUAAUGACUGUAUCGGCACCCGAAGAGAAAUCUUUAAAUGAGGUUCGGGGGGGAGUAUGGUCGCAAGGCUGAAACUUAAAGGAAUUGACGGAAGGGCACCACCAGGUGUGGAGCCUGCGGCUUAAUUUGACUCAACACGGGGAAACUCACCAGGUCCAGACACAAUAAGGAUUGACAGAUUGAUAGCUCUUUCUUGAUCUUGUGGUUGGUGGUGCAUGGCCGUUCUUAGUUGGUGGAGUGAUUUGUCUGGUUAAUUCCGAUAACGAACGAGACCUUAACCUGCUAAAUAGACCAGCCGGCUUUGGCUAGCUGCUGUCUUCUUAGAGGGACUAUCAGCGUUUAGCUGAUGGAAGUUUGAGGCAAUAACAGGUCUGUGAUGCCCUUAGAUGUUCUGGGCCGCACGCGCGCUACACUGACAGAGCCAGCGAGUCUACCACCUUUGCCGGAAGGCAUGGGUAAUCUUGUGAAACUCUGUCGUGAUGGGGAUAGAACAUUGCAAUUAUUGUUCUUCAACGAGGAAUACCUAGUAAGCGUGAUUCAUCAGAUCGCGUUGAUUACGUCCCUGCCCUUUGUACACACCGCCCGUCGCUACUACCGAUUGAAUGGCUUAGUGAGGCCUCCGGAUUGGCUAUUGGGAGCUCGCGAGAGCACCCGACUGCCGAGAAGUUGUACGAACUUGGUCAUAGAGGAAGUAAAAUCUACGCGGCAAAA
rnacentral:rRNA from 1 species